CAGCCGCCACGGUAACACGGAGGGAGCUAGCGUUGUUCGGAAUUACUGGGCGUAAAGCGCGCGUAGGCGGUUACUCAAGUCAGAGGUGAAAGCCCGGGGCUCAACCCCGGAACUGCCUUUGAAACUAGGUGACUAGAAUCUUGGAGAGGUCAGUGGAAUUCCGAGUGUAGAGGUGAAAUUCGUAGAUAUUCGGAAGAACACCAGUGGCGAAGGCGACUGACUGGACAAGUAUUGACGCUGAGGUGCGAAAGCGUGGGGAGCAAACAGGAUUAGAUACCCCAGUAGUCCCUGUCUCUUAUAC
rnacentral:rRNA from 1 species